rnacentral:sRNA from 2 species
CCGUACACACCAUCUGCUGCUCCACUGGCAGAAAUAAAGAGAGAAGAAUGCAAUUCAUAUAGUUUUCUAACUGGGGAAUUUUGGUUGUGUUUGCGAUGUUAGGUCUAUUUUGUAUACAGCGCGCAAACAGCGCGCUGUCACGCUGAUGCUUGGGAAUGCUCUGACAACAACAUUGCCCACUACCAGUCCAACCACGUCCCUCUAAAUCCAGGCAGAAGCGGGUGAUGGCUUCUCGGAAGAGCGCCCAAAUCGACCUACUACUCCGCUCUAACAUGAGACAAUGAGAACAGAGAUAGGCUGAAUAAAAAAUGGGGGAGACAGACCAGAGAGCGGUGGUUGUUUCUUAUCGACUCUGGACUGUGUUCAUAAGGAACAAAACAGAUGUGUAGCUUGUG